AGUGAACGCUGGCGGUAGGCCUAACACAUGCAAGUCGAACGGCAGCACAGUAAGAGCUUGCUCUUACGGGUGGCGAGUGGCGGACGGGUGAGGAAUACAUCGGCAUCUACUUUUUCGUGGGGGAUAACGUAGGGAAACUUACGCUAAUACCGCAUACGAUCUACGGGUGAAAGCAGGGGAUCUUCGCACCUUGCGCGAUUGAAUGAGCCGAUGUCGGAUUAGCUAGUUGGCGGGGUAAAGGCACACCAAGGCGACGAUCCGUAGCUGGUCUGAGAGGAUGAUCAGCCACACUGGAACUGAGACACGGUCCAGACUCCUACGGGAGGCAGCAGUGGGGAAUAUUGGACAAUGGGCGCAAGCCUGAUCCAGCAAUACCGCGUGGGUGAAGAAGGCCUUCGGGUUGUAAAGCCCUGUUGUUGGGAAAGAAAAGCAGCAGGUUAAUACCCCGCUGUUCUGACGGUACCCAAAGAAUAAGCACCGGCUAACUUCGUG
rnacentral:rRNA from 1 species